GGGCGGGUAGUUCAGGGAAAGAACACCUCACUGUAAAUGAGGAGGUCGGAGGUUCAAGUCCUUCCUCGCCCG
rnacentral:tRNA from 1 species